UAUUUUUCCUACACAAAAAUCGACGAUAAAUAGUAGUCUAAUCGGGCGAAAGUUGUUCGCAAGUGAUACACUGACUGAUUGUGCGUAAGCGUAAGGUGUUAUUUAGCGUAUCGGCGGUGGGACCAGCGAGAAAAACGGGCUGAAAGAAAAAGUUUUUCACCAGUGUGACACACACCUUUCGGGUGGCAAUAUUAUUGCGACGGACGGGGACGGUGUGCCUAGCGUCCGAGCAAGUGUGUGUGUGUGUGUUGCGUUUCUUGUGGUACGACGGCCGCUGGGAUCGUGAAAAAAGGUCCUGCAGCAGCAAAACGCUGCAGAAGCAGUGAGAUUCGAGUUAUAAAGGAGAUUAUUACACACAAAAUCACCGUGAAUCGUGGCACAAUUUUACAGUGCUGUGUGUGCGCCUGAAAAAGUGUGUCGCUUUUUAAGCGACAUUCCGUGUGCCAUUGAACACAUACACACUCAACGUGACGCACAUGACACCAUCUCAUUUUCAUCGCGAAGGUAUGGCAGUGCCGACGUCGAGAAGUCUGCUAAUAGUCCGCUAAACUUUUCCCUAGGAGGCAGUGCUGUUUUCGUGACUAGGUGAUACCGCAUCCACGGUUGCAAAACUGCGCACAUAUCCAGCAAGCGUGCCAGUCAGCAUAGCAGGAGCAGCAGCAGCAGCAGCCGCAGCAGGAACGCAGUGUUGUGGAUGCCGAACGAACCGACCGGAAACCGACACCGAGGAUUUGUGAUUAAGCUUGUGUGUGAUGUGAAUAAAUCCCCUCCCGUCCUCCGCGUGUGUUCCGUUCGCGUUGUUGUGUUGGGGCAACGAUAAAAAAAUAAUAAAACGAACCCCGCCGGCGGCGACCUCCGCAGAACGCCGCUGUUUCACACUCAGUCACGCUCGCGCUCAGCUGUCAGUUCUCGAGUCGGGCUAGGGAGGGUUGCAUAAUUGCACCACGAUUAUAUUGGUUCCGCGGCGCAAGCAGAGAAAUUGAGCCGCGCUAGAUCGCCAACGUCGUAAAGAAGCUGGUGCGCUAGGUGGUAGUGUGCGAUCGCAGUGUGCUGUGUUUGUGAAGAUCAGUUGCGCCGAGAGCGGUGGAAAACGCGAAGAAAAAGAAACAAAAGAACGUCUCAAGAAAAGGGUAUCAAAGGACGAAUACACACAUACGCCCGCCGUUUUGACGGAAGAGGAUCGUGAGCCUCACUCCUGCCCUGAUAUCCAACGGCGAAGUUAGAUUCUGUUCUAAUAAGUGUCUGUUUGGUUGUUGUUGCAAUCAAACUACACUAGCUGCUUUAAGCGUAAAGUGUGGCGGACAAAGAAAACAAUCAAGCCAUUACAAACCUAACCCAUAAGUGCGUUUAGACGAAGACAAAUAAGGGACGAUCGGGUGGUGCUGUUCGGGGUGUUGUGAUUCGGCCAAGUAACAAGCGGUUAAAACUGACAGCAAAACGGCUUAUCCUACCAUCCAACCAAACACCAUACCAGUUCACUCUCUACCUGUUUAGCUGCUAUUGCUUUUGUGAACUUCACAGCGCGCGCACAUACAGAUACCCGUACCGGAAUUAAGUUUUGAUUGCAAACAUACCAUAACGUUCGGCCACGUUCGGUAUCAACGAAAAAUAAUCAGAAAACGUACGAAAUAAACACGGGUCCGAACUUUCGGGAGCGUAGUGCAGCAAAACGCGUAUCGAAAUACUACGAACGAAUAGUGCAAAGAUACUGCAAGUAAGACAAGACAACCCAUACCCAGCGAUAAGACAAGAAGUUAAGGAGACGACCUGGUCAAAUUGAUUGAUUUAUCAUCAAUUCACAAACGGAGAAACACCAAUCGAUUCAUCGAGCCAUUGCGAAAGAAUGAAAGAGUAGGCUGGUUCUUUGGGGUGAAAGGAGCUAAAGUGGUAUAUUUGCUGAAGAAAAAAAACAAGUAGUACCGCAUGCGGAUAGGAGCUACGUUAUGCCAGUAGCUCCAUAAUCGUCGUGAUCGUGACAAUAUCAUGAUAGUGUUAGCAAAGUGAAAACAAACCUGCUUCAAGUGCGUCAAACGCUGCAACUUUGCUUCAACGCAACCACCGAAUAGAGUGUAGCCUGUUUGAGCGCCGGCGCAGCCACAGUAAGGAUCCCAGUAUCAGAAGUAGUUAUCAAAGCAGCAGCAGCAAAUCAGUAGCAGCAUCCGCAGCACAAGCACUUCUUCUGCGCUUGACUAUACCACGAUCUCCAGCAAAUAAGUCGAACCAGUUUGCUUUUUCUGCCAAGCACAACACUCAUUGCAACGAGCUCAAGUACACAACAGCACACAAGCACAUCUCUCGUAAAACGAUAUUGUUUCAUAUCCUCUGGUGCGUUGAACUCAACGAUAACUUUAAAGUAUAAAAACUGUCAAAGAAUCUAAUGAAACAGUAUAAAGCAAGAAUCCAGUCGACAAAAUCGAAUCGAAAGUGAUAAAAGCACUAAGCAAAAGCACCACCAUUAUUCGAAGAGGCGUCAGCGCUGUAGCACAGCAUCCAAGCGAGAUAGCGGACGCACAAAACAAAAACUUUACAAUAAGUGUUCAAGAAGCGAAAUCUUCCUUACUGAAGAAGGGAAAAAAACCUUCAUUACGAAACUAAGCACGGAAGAAGGAAGAAGAAAUUCACCCACGAAAGUCAACCAAAACCAACUCCAAUAGAUUAAACUGAUUCCUAGCAGUAUUUUGCCAACUUUCUUGUCGUCUUGUUGUUGUGUUGUGUUGAACACGCGUGAUUGCAAACGCUUUAGCAGCAGUAGGCACUGCGGAUUGAUCUUACUACUAGAAGAGUACACACUACCACCAAUACUACUACGAACUACUAUUACUACCGCUAUAACUACUACACCUACUAGGUCUACUACUACGUCUACCAGCCACCCAGCAGUAGUAUAUAGUGAAAACAAGAGUAGCAAUAACUGUUGUGCUGUGUUGUGUCCAAUUACUCAGCAACACUACUUCACCAACAAGUCUGAAUACGCUUUUAUGAAUUUACUUAAAGUACCAUAAACGAAGAAGAAGCAAAUCAUUUGGCAUAAUUGUGGACGGCACUGAACGAAAGAUCACUAUUUUAGCGACGAAAGUAAAAGAAAAGAGGUCGUUCGUUGGUGGAAACAUAAGGAGUAGUGUAACGUACAACACCAACUCCCCAUAGAUUUACCCAAGUACACACACACACACAUCAUUCGGCGUCGCUACUUCUGUGGCACCUAGCUACUAUUGCGAUUACUACCUACCUUCCUUACCUACCUACCACACUGCAAAAACACUACAAUCGAUCUAAGAGUCUGAAAUCACACAAUCAGGGAUUGUUGUUCGCAACGGCAACCUCUCUCUACCUACUACCUAAGUACUUGUUGGCGGAUCGAUUGGUGUGCGGUGGUGCGAAAACGGUCGGGAGAAGCAGCAGUGUAUUUGUGUAGCGAAAUUUGAAAACGGACGGGAGAGCAGAGCAAAAGUAUCCCGUUUCAAGCUCGUAUUAUGUGCCAGUGUUCCUUACCGGACGCACAGAAGAAGAAACACCGGAAAGGGGCAAAGAUUCAGCAGUUUAAGUUCCAUCAGUUCCCAGUCAGUGGCGACGGGAACGAAGGACCCACCGGGGACCAGCAGCAGCAGCAGCAGCAGCAGCUCGAGUCCACUAUUGGGCCGUUGUCAUAAAG